UUACAAAUACCCAAGAAUAGAUUCCAGUAAGGGGCACAAACUGUCCCUGGGUUAAAUUAUGAAGUGCUUGAAAAACAAUUACUGUCUCUCUUCUACUGCAGAUGGAGGUCACCGGCAACUGAUAAUCCAUCUCAGAAUCUCAGGAACAUCGGAGGAUCUGGCUCUCUACCACCGAAGCAGGAGAUCAACAGAUCUGGACUUCACUGGAUCCUUUGGUGGAACACAGGAAUCAGAGCCCUGCGUGGAUACAAAAAUGUGGAUCCACAUCUGAUCUGCAUCCACUAGGAUCAACCCACAAUCCGACCCGCGAUCUGCUAGCCAUCUUUUACCAGUAUCCGCACCCGCAGCAGCAAGCUGUCUCAUAAGGGCUAGCGACAGUGUGUGUGUGUGUGUCUUGCAGGGAAGAGGCAGAGCGCAAGGGCAGGGACAUGGGGAUGGAGGUCACCAGCAACUGAUGGACCAUCUCAGAGUCUCAGGAACAUCAGAGGAUCUGGCUCUCUACCACCAAAGGAGGAGAUCAACAGAUCUAGGCUGAUAGCAAAGUCUUCACUGGAUCCUUUGAUGGAAUACAGGAAUCAGAUAUCAGGAAGCCGAUCUGCAGGGCUCUGUAUAUCUUCUACUAUUCAGCAGCAGGGCAACUCUGGUGUAAGAACGGGACACUGGGAGAUGGGUCAACUAUGUAAAAUAACUAAAAAACAACCUACUGUAAGUUAGACUUGUCCCACAUUGCCUUCACUUAACCAUUGUCCUCUUUCAGACCACUGUCUGUUUUCCCUCUUUAACUGUAUGUAAGGCCCAUUUCCGGAAAAAUUACAGGCAUGGAGCAUUCUGUUCCCUUCAAAGUGGGAAGGGGAAAACCCAACUCUGGCCAGCCUUAUUUACAUAAUUAUAAUAUUGCUUACCCAUAAUUCCAUUUAUUGAGUUUUGUUUCUUUAGUGGGAAUUUGUUUAUGUUUUGAUUGUAUAUAUGAUAGAUUAUUAUUAUCAUUACUGUAUUCCUAAAAGGGCACAGGUAAUGUGCAAGGUAUGCCCUGGAAUGUGUGGGUCACCACGUGUGUACAGGUAGUGGAUUUUGGUUUGGUAACAAAAUUCAAGUUCAACAAGGAAGGGGGAAAGGAUACUAGGAACUGUAUCCCAAGGAACAGAGAUCCUGUUUUGCUUUAGGUUUCCUACCUUACAAUUCUGGGUCUUGUGUAGAAUGAGUUAUAGGAGCUGAGCUUUUAGAGAAGCCUGACUGGACUAGCAGUAGUGAUAGUACAGAACUGACUUUGCAGUACACUGGCUCACUAGGCCAGCAGAAGCAGAGCUUACAUUACAGACCUGAACAAAGUAGCUGUAUGUCAGAGCAAAAACUGGUAGAGUAGUUCUUCAUGGAGUGGAGCAGACUAGCAGAAGAGAGGUACCUCCUGACUACCACUGAGUCUUGCUGGACCUGUGAAAGAUAUUAAUUUGAAGUCCAGUCCUGCAUCCCUAACACCGAUGAGAAAUGUUCACUCACAUAAGCAGUUCCAUUGAAGUAAGAGGAAUAAAGAUUAAAUGCUUGAGAGUUCUGCCAGGAAGGUUGAGAGGUAGCCUGUGUGAGGACAGGCUGAACUGGAAAAACAUGGGGGAGCUGAUGUGGUGGCCAGAAUAACAACAGAAGGAGAUACAGAGGACAUGGCAGGCAUUCUAGCUGACCCAGCAGACAGAGUGACAAUUCCUGCUGGGCGGAGCAACAGUGAGCGUUUCAGGAAUUCAUGAUGGAACAGACCCAGGUACAGCAGCAUAUAAUACAAAAUGUGAGAAGUCCUGCCAUGGGGGAGGGGAGGCUGGGACUCUGUGAAAUGGGCCCUAGGGAUCAUCCUGAUGCAUUCUUCCUGACUUUUGAAAGAAUUGCUACUAAUGCAGGCUGGGAUAAAGGGUUAUGGGCUGUACAGUUAGUCCCUUAUCUGGUGGGAGAAGCCCAAGGGACUUACAGAGCAUUGUAUGAGGAACAUGCUAAGAACUUUGAUAUGUUAAAGGCUGCUAUAUUAGACCGUGUAGGUUUGUCAGCCAAAAGACACUGGCAGAAAUGUAGGCAGCCACGUGGUAAGGCACAGAGCAUUUGAGCAGAAGUUGACUGAUUGGACCAAACAACAGCUGAGACAAAGGGGGCAAGAUGUUGAAGUACUGUCAUCUUAAACAGUUUAUGCAGAGCCUCCCAGAUACCACUAAGGUCUGCGUGAGGAGACACCAACCAGAGACACUGGAUGCAGCAGUAAAAUUGGCCAAAAAGUGUAUAGAAGCUCUUUUUUUUUUUUUUCUAAAGAAAGUGGCUUGUCCUAUGCUAGUGGGUGAAGGGGAGGAAAAAAGGCAAGAUUCCUUAAGCAGUAAGGCCCGUGAGUGUGAGACGGUGUGAAAGCCACGUCAGCCAGCCAGAAUAAAACCAUUUGUCCCUCUCACAGGUAGCAGGUCACUUUAAGUGGGACUGCCCAUAUAUGGAAUGCAGACUGGGGGGAUACUGCAGCUGCAUAGUGCUCAUUAGUGCAGAGCAUGCUAGCUGGUUUCAGGAGUGGAAUGCUCUAGGCAGAGAAUGCAUACAUGAGGGGUGGGGGAGAACCUAUCCAGUGGCAACAGUCCCAUCGGAAGUACAUGGGAGGUGUUGGUGGGAAAGGGCUGGGGUAAUAAGAACCUUGCUCCAUCCUGUGGUCAUGGGGACUGAUUGGAACCCAUUCCUUUUAAGGAGAAGAAUGGACCUUGAGGGAAGGAACCUCAAUGGAGGAAAAAAGGGCUUGGGGUUAAGCAUGGGACUCCGAGCCUCCCGGGGGAGAUAUGAGAGAACCCUAAAUGGAAGUCAACAAGCCAAGAAAGUGGGGACCAGGGAGGAAAGGUCCAGGCAAAGGAGAAGUGGGAAAAUGAAAACUCUCUAGACAAAUACCAAGAAAUUGAGGCCCAGAUGGAGAGUACCAGAGCAGAAGAGAAGCUGGAAAAGGGGGCAAAGGA